AUUAACAAUUUUUUGAAAAUAUUAAGCUAUCCACAAAUUCCUGAAAAUAAGUAGCCGUGAUUUGCGGAAAAAAUGUUCUUAAUUAUUUUUCCCACAUGAUGUCCUUUCAGGUUCCAGGAAACAGCACGGGCAUGUAUUAGGCAUAAUAAGUAAUUAUAAAAAUAUGAG